CUCAGGGACGAAAGCUAGGGGAGCGAAUGGGAUUAGAUACCCCAGUAGUCCUAGCCGUAAAACGAUGGAUACUAGGUGUUGUCUGUAUCGACCCGGGACAGUGCCGUAGCUAACGCGUUAAGUAUCCCGCUGGGGAGUACGCACGCAAGUGUGAAACUCCAAAGGAAUUGACGGGGGCCCGCACAAGCGGUGGAGUAUGUGGUUUAAUUCGAUGCAACGCGAAGAACCUUACCAGGACUUGACAUGUCGCGAAUCCAGUGGAAACACAGGAAGUGCCUUCGGGAGCGCGAAACACAAGGUGGUGCAUGGCUGUCCGUCAGCUCGUUGUCGUGAGAGUAGUUUGGGGUUAAGUUCCCCGGCUAAACCGGAGUCCGCGAAACCCUUCGGUGGUUUUAGUUGCCAUCAUUUAAGUUCGGGCUACGUCUAAACAGACUGCCGGUGGACAAACCGGAGACGGUGGGAUGACGUCAAGUCAGCCUAUGCCCCUUACGGUCUGGGCUACGUACACGGUACUACAAUGGGUAGGGACACGAAGGGCCAAGGCCCGAACCCGGCGAGGGACGUACGCCUAAAGUCCCCGGUAAACCCUGGCCUCCUAG
rnacentral:rRNA from 1 species